rnacentral:rRNA from 1 species
GAUGAACGCUGGCGGCGUGCCUAAUACAUGCAAGUCGAGCGAACAGAUAAGGAGCUUGCUCCUUUGACGUUAGCGGCGGACGGGUGAGUAACACGUGGGUAACCUACCUAUAAGACUGGAAUAACUCCGGGAAACCGGGGCUAAUGCCGGAUAACAUGUUGAACGGCAUGGUUCUACAGUGAAAACGGGCUUUGCUGUGCCUUAUUCGUAGUCCCACGCCGGAGUAGUUAGUUGGUGCGGUAACGGCGGACCAAGGCAACGAUGAGUAGCCGAACUGAGAGGAUGAUCGGCCGCACUGGAACUGAGACACGGUCCAGACUCCUACGGGAGGCAGCAGUAGGGAAUCUUCCGCAAUGGGCGAAAGCCUGACGCAGCAACGCCGCGUGAGUGAUGAAGGUCUUCGGAUCGUAAAACACUGUUAUUAGGGAAGAACAAAUGCGUAAGUAACUGUGCGCGUCUUGACGGUACCUAAUCAGAAAGCCACGGCUAACUACGUG